rnacentral:rRNA from 1 species
CUACGGGUUGCACCAGUGAGGAAUAUUGCACAAUGGGGGGAACCCUGAUGCAGCAACGCCGCGUGGAGGAUGACGCAUUUCGGUGCGUAAACUCCUUUUAUAUGUCAAGAAAAUGACGGUAGCAUAUGAAUAAGCACCGGCUAACUCCGUGCCAGCAGCCGCGGUAAUACGGAGGGUGCAAGCGUUACUCGGAAUCACUGGGCGUAAAGGACGCGUAGGCGGGUUGGAAAGUCAGGUGUGAAAUCCUACAGCUUAACUGUAGAACUGCACUUGAAACUUCUAAUCUAGAGUAUGGGAGGGGAGAUGGAAUUAGUGGUGUAGGGGUAAAAUCCGUAGAUAUCACUAGGAAUACCUAAAGCGAAGGCGAUCUCCUGGAACAUUACUGACGCUAAGGCGUGAAAGCGUGGGGAGCAAACAGGAUUAGAUACCCCGGUAGUC